rnacentral:rRNA from 1 species
AUGCUUAAAAUAGAUCUUGCCAAAGCUUUUGAUCGAAUAGAAUGGGAUUUCAUCAAGAGAGCCUUGCUUCGCAAAGGGCUACAUGAUCAUUUUGACAAUCUUAUUAUCAAAUGCAUUUCUUCUGCCACUUUUUCUGAUAACAUAAAUGGGCAGCCUGUUGGCAGCUUUAAAGGAUCUCGAGGUAACCGACAAGGUUGUCCUCUAUCGCGAUAUCCUUUUAUUCUUGAUGUCAAUGAAUUGCCGCUUUCGAUGCAGGAUGCUUUCAAUACAAAUCUCUUGAGUAGCAUACAACUAGGUCCAUCUUGUCCUGCCAUUCAUUCUUUAAUGUUUGCUAAUGAUCUUAUCGUUUGUGGGAGAGAUGAUAAUUUGGAUGCUAAUAUUAUUGCACAUUAUUGAUCAGUUUUGUGCUGCUCCUGGUCAAACUCCUAA